UACAGAGGGGGCAAGCGUUAUUCGGAAUUAUUGGGCGUAAAGGGCGCGUAGGCGGCUUGGCAAGUGGAAGGUGAAAUCCCUCGGCUUAACCGAGGAACUGCGUCCGAUACUGGCAGGCUUGAAUCCGGGAGAGGGAUGUGGAAUUCCAGGUGUAGCGGUGAAAUGCGUAGAUAUCUGGAGGAACACCGGUGGCGAAGGCGGCAUCCUGGACCGGUAUUGACGCUGAUGCGCGAAAGCCAGGGGAGCAAACGGG
rnacentral:rRNA from 1 species